UAAUACGGGGGGAGCAAGCGUUGUUCGGAUUUACUGGGCGUAAAGGGCGCGUAGGCGGCGUGACAAGUCACUUGUGAAAUCUCCGGGCUUAACUCGGAACGGUCAAGUGAUACUGUCGUGCUAGAGUACAGAAGGGGCAACUGGAAUUCUCGGUGUAGCGGUGAAAUGCGUAGAUAUCGAGAGGAACACCUGCGGCGAAGGCGGGUUGCUGGGCUGAUACUGACGCUGAGGCGCGAAAGCUAGGGGAGCGAACGGGAUUAGAUACCCCGGUAGUCCUAGCCUUAAACGAUGAUUACUCGACAUCAGCGAUACACUGUUGGUGUCUGAGCGAAAGCAUUAAGUAAUCCACCUGGGAAGUACGAUCGCAAGAUUG
rnacentral:rRNA from 1 species